AAGAGCACUACAAGAAAAAACGUGAUUUGCUACCAUUAAUUUGCUACAAAUAGUGUUUCUAGUUAAUUUCAAGUAUAUUAACAACCAUUUGACUGAAAUUAAUCUUAUAUUACUUUUUUAACAAAUCACAGUAUUAUUAUUAUUAUUUUAUUUAUUUUUUACUAUUCUUUUUUAUUGCUACUAUUAAUUUGUUGACUGUCAAAAAAACAAAAUCUCAGAACACGUAUCGUGAAACCCCUCUCUCCUUCGAUCUUGCUCCGCCGCGAUCUUGCUCCGAUCUAACUCUCCCUCUGAUUUUGCUCCGAUCUCACUUUCCGUCCGAUCUUGCUCUUGAUCCUCGAACAUAUAUCACUCCAACAUAGACUCGAUCCUCUCGCGAUUGUUAUUCUUAGUUGAAAUUUGAUGUUGUGCUCGUUUCAGAUUACUUCUGCCUCUUAGGAUGGAGUAGUGGAUUCCAAGGUAGCAUCUACACUUCGACCCUGUACUAAAGGUCUUUGGUUGUGGAGCUCACCUAUUAAGAGGACUGCUCUUGAUGGAAUAUUGUACAGUCUUCUGCUAUUAGACAUUGAAGGGGACAAACAACACCCAGAUAUUUUAGGUAUUAAUAAUACUAAAUUAAUUGCUCAAAAAUCAAAAUGAAUGCCUCUAAUCACAAAUCACCAUUCCUCUGACCAAACUUGACCUCAGUGGUCAAGUCCAUGAAUGGACUAUCCAGAUGCCGGUUUGCUGAAACCAUUAUUUUGUAUUAUACACUUGGUCUAUAUGAACAGAUUAUACUAGUUUCUGCCCCAUGUUUUGCUUUCAGUAUCAUCAUUUUUAUGUCAUGUUCAACAGGCUGAACUUGCACGAAUGAAUGAAGACUUGGAACUCUUCAAUAAUGACACAAAUCCACAUUAUUUCUUUAUGAAGAAAGAAGUCAUUAAAUCAAGAAACAAGGAUCUCGUUCAACUUUUUGAAUUUGGUGGUGUGAGACACUGUGACUUAUGUGAAAGUGUGAAGUCCACAAUAUCACACAGCAUUAGAUUAACAACAUUGGUGGAAAUAAAUUGUGUUUUACAUCAUUUGCAUCAUAUCACAUUGAAGCUGUUUUACUACUCACUUUGAAAUGGAAUUUUGCUAAUUGUGAUCUUGAAUUGCUAUUAGUAUAAGUUCUUCAUUUCACAUUGAAGCUUUUUCUCUCACUGGUGAUGUUAUUUUCUUAUAUUUCAUUUGUUGCCAUUUUUCGUUUACAGGUGAAACAUCCUGAGGUUGCAGAAUUUCUUGGUUCGCGGAUGUAUGAUUGUUUAAUCAAAUACAAUGAAGUUCAGAGCUUAUAGUUGAGACUGAUUCUUUUAAAAAGGAGGAAUUUUCAUUCAAGAGUUGGAUAAUAUGAGCCGAUGCUUAUGGAAGUUCAUUUGCACCGUGUGAUGUAAGAAACAAACAGGUGAAGGUUGCUUUUGGUGCAGAUGUUUAUCCUGGUCUCCCGUAUCUAGUGAGUGAUCAGAUAGCCUAAAUUAAAAUGUUCUACUGGGAACCAUUAGGAGAAACCAACAGAAAAGAACUUGCUCUAAUUGGUUUUACUAGAAAAGCCUUUUAUUUUCCCUUUGUAUCUUAGAAGGUCACUAUUUUUAUUGUGUUAUACUGUCCUGUGAGGUUUACCUCCCUUUCAAUCUUCAAUAUAAUUCUUAUGUGUUUAAAUGCAAGGAAGCUGCUAACUUUGGGACUCCACAAUGGCUUUGGCAUAGCUAAAGAAACUGCAGUGCAUAGAGCUACAAUGAAUCAUCUUCCUAUGCUUUCCCAUCAUCAACUACUUUACUGGCUACCAUGUCUUUUAUUUCAAG